rnacentral:rRNA from 1 species
UACGAAGGGGGCUAGCGUUGCUCGGAAUUACUGGGCGUAAAGGGCGCGUAGGCGGGUCGUUAAGUAGGGGGUGAAAGCCCAGGGCUCAACCCUGGAAUUGCCUUCUAAACUGGCGACCUUGAGUAUGGCAGAGGUGUGUGGAACUCCGAGUGUAGAGGUGAAAUUCGUAGAUAUUCGCAAGAACACCAGUGGCGAAGGCGGCUCACUGGCCCGUUACUGACGCUGAGGCACGAAAGCGUGGGGAGCAAACACGG